rnacentral:tRNA from 1 species
GGAAAAAUGACUGAGUUGGUUUAAAGUGUUGGUUUGCUAAAUCAAAGUGUUUUUUUUUAACACCGUGGGUUCAAAUCCCAUUUUUUCCA